UCAGAACGUACGCNGGCGGCACGCCUAACACAUGCAAGUCGAACGAAGUAGCAAUACUUAGUGGCGAACGGGUGAGUAUAAUGUGGGUAUCUGCCCUUUGGUUUGGAAUAACACGAGGAAACUUGUGCUAAUACCGGAUAAGCCUUCACAGGGAAAGCUUUAGCGCCAAAGGAUGAGCCUGCACUUGAUUAGCUAGUUGGUAAGGUAAUGGCUUACCAAGGCAACGAUCAAUAGCUGUUCUUAGAGGAAGACCAGCCACAUUGGGACUGAGACACGGCCCAAACUCCUACGGGAGGCAGCAGUGGGGAAUCUUGCACAAUGGGGGAAACCCUGAUGCAGCGAUGCCGCGUGAGUGAAGAAGGCCCUUGGGUUGUAAAGCUCUUUCGUCGGGGAAGAAAAUGACUGUACCCGAAUAAGAAGGUCCGGCUAACUUCGUGCCAGCAGCCGCGGUAAUACGAAGGGACCUAGCGUAGUUCGGAAUUACUGGGCUUAAAGAGCACGUAGGUGGUUAAGAAAGUUGGUGGUGAAAUCCCGAGGCUUAACCUUGGAACUGCCACCAAAACUUUUUAACUAGAGUAUGAUUGAGGUAAGCGGAAUUUCUAGUGUAGAGGUGAAAUUCGUAGAUAUUAGAAAGAACACCAAUUGCGAAGGCAGCUUUCUGGAUCAUUACUGACACUGAGGUGCGAAAGCAUGGGUAGCGAAGAGGAUUAGAUACCCUCGUAGUCCAUGCCGUAAACGAUGUGUGCUAGACGUUGGGAAUUUAUUUUUCAGUGUCGCAGCAAAAGCGUUAAGCACACCGCCUGGGGAGUACGACCGCAAGGUUAAA
rnacentral:rRNA from 1 species